GACGAACGCUGGCGGCGUGCUUAACACAUGCAAGUCGAACGAUGAAGCUGGAGCUUGCUCCGGUGGAUUAGUGGCGAACGGGUGAGUAACACGUGAGCAAUCUGCCCUUCACUCUGGGAUAACUGCGGGAAACUGUAGCUAAUACCGGAUACGAGGCUUGGAGGCAUCUCCAGGUCUGGAAAGAAUUUCGGUGAAGGAUGAGCUCGCGGCCUAUCAGCUUGUUGGUGAGGUAAUGGCUCACCAAGGCGACGACGGGUAGCCGGCCUGAGAGGGUGACCGGCCACACUGGGACUGAGACACGGCCCAGACUCCUGCGGGAGGCAGCAGUGGGGAAUAUUGCACAAUGGGCGAAAGCCUGAUGCAGCAACGCCGCGUGAGGGAUGAAGGCCUUCGGGUUGUAAACCUCUUUUAGCAGGGAAGAAGCGAAAGUGACGGUACCUGCAGAAAAAGCACCGGCUAACUACGUGCCAGCAGCCGCCGCAG
rnacentral:rRNA from 1 species